rnacentral:rRNA from 1 species
AGAGUUUUGAUCCUGGGCUCAGGGCGGAACGGUGGCGGGCGUGCUUAACCACAAGCCAAUUCGAACGGUUAGGCCCCCAGCUUGUUGGGGUACACGAGUGGCGAACGGGUGAGUAACACGUGGGUGACCUGCCCCGCACUUCGGGAUAAGCCUGGGAAACUGGGUUUAAUACCGGAUAGGACCGCACCGUGAGGGUGUGGUGGAAAGUUUUUCGGUGUGGGAUGGGCCCGCGACCUAUCAGCUUGUUGGUGGGGUAAUGGCCUACCAAGGCGGCGACGGGUAGCCGGCCUGAGAGGGUGGACGGCCACAUUGGGACUGAGACACGGCCCAGACUCCUACGGGAGGCAGCAGUGGGGAAUAUUGCACAAUGGGCGGAAGCCUGAUGCAGCGACGCCGCGUGGGGGAUGACGGCCUUCGGGUUGUAAACUCCUUUCACCAUCGACGAAGGUUUUCUGACGGUAGAUGGAGAAGAAGCACCGGCUAACUACGUGCCAGCAGCCGCGGUAAUACGUAGGGUGCGAGCGUUGUCCGGAAUUACUGGGCGUAAAGAGCUCGUAGGUGGUUUGUCGCGUCGUCUGUGAAAUUCCGGGGCUUAACUCCGGGCGUGCAGGCGAUACGGGCAUAACUUGAGUACUGUAGGGGAGACUGGAAUUCCUGGUGUAGCGGUGAAAUGCGCAGAUAUCAGGAGGAACACCGGUGGCGAAGGCGGGUCUCUGGGCAGUAACUGACGCUGAGGAGCGAAAGCAUGGGUAGCGAACAGGAUUAGAUACCCUGGUAGUCCAUGCCGUAAACGGUGGGCGCUAGGUGUAGGGGUCUUCCACGACUUCUGUGCCGUAGCUAACGCAUNAAG